UGGGGAAUAUUGCACAAUGGGCGCAAGCCUGAUGCGGCCAUGCCGCGUGUAUGAAGAAGGCCUUCGGGUUGUAAAGUACUUUCAGCGGGGAGGAAGGGAGUAAAGUUAAUACCUUUGCUCAUUGACGUUACCCGCAGAAGAAGCACCGGCUAACUCCGUGCCAGCAGCCGCGGUAAUACGGAGGGUGCAAGCGUUAAUCGGAAUUACUGGGCGUAAAGCGCACGCAGGCGGUUUGUUAAGUCAGAUGUGAAAUCCCCGGGCUCAACCUGGGAACUGCAUCUGAUACUGGCAAGCUUGAGUCUCGUAGAGGGGGGUAGAAUUCCAGGUGUAGCGGUGAAAUGCGUAGAGAUCUGGAGGAAUACCGGUGGCGAAGGCGGCCCCCUGGACGAAGACUGACGCUCAGGUGCGAAAGCGUGGGGAGCAAACAGG
rnacentral:rRNA from 1 species